rnacentral:rRNA from 1 species
GACGAACGCUGGCGGCGUGCCUAAUACAUGCAAGUCGAACGCACAGUUUAUACCGUAGCUUGCUACACCAUAGACUGUGAGUUGCGAACGGGUGAGUAACGCGUAGGUAACCUGCCUGGUAGCGGGGGAUAACUAUUGGAAACGAUAGCUAAUACCGCAUAAUAUUGAUUAUUGCAUGAUAAUUGAUUGAAAGAUGCUAUUGCAUCACUACCAGAUGGACCUGCGUUGUAUUAGCUAGUAGGUGAGGUAACGGCUCACCUAGGCGAAGAUACAUAGCCGACCUGAGAGGGUGAUCGGCCAACCUGGGACUGGGACACGGCCCAGACUCCUACGGGAGGCAGCAGUAGGGAAUCUUCGGCAAUGGACGAAAGUCUGACCGAGCAACGCCGCGUGAGUGAAGAAGGUUUUCGGAUCGUAAAGCUCUGUUGUAAGAGAAGAACGGGUGUGAGAGUGGAAAGUUCACACUGUGACGGUAUCUUACCAGAAAGGGACGGCUAACUACGUG